rnacentral:rRNA from 1 species
AUUAAGUUUAAUUUAAUAUAGGAUCUGCUCAAUGAUUUAUUAAAUAGCUGCAGUAUUUUGACUGUGCAAAGGUAGCAUAAUAAUUAGUCUUUUAAUUGAGGACUUGUAUGAAAGAUUUGAUGAGAAAUAAACUUUAUUAUUUAUAUAUUUAAAAUUUUAUUUUUAAGUAAAAAAGCUUAAAUUAUUUAAAGGGACGAUAAGACCCUAUAAAACUUUAUAAAUGUUAAUUUUAAUUUUUUUGGAUUUAUAAAUAUUUUAAUUUUAUUAUUUAUUUUAUUGGGGUGAUAAAAAAAAUUAUUUAACUUUUUUUAAAAUUUUACAUUAUUUAAUGAAUUUUUGAAUUAAAAUUUUUAAUUAAAGGAAAAAGUUACUUUAGGGAUAACAGCGUAAUUAAUUUUUUAAGUUCAAAUUUAAAAAUUAGUUUGCGACCUCGAUGUUGAAUUAAGAUUAAUCUUAGGUGCAAAAUUUUAAGUAUUAGGUCUGUUCGACCUUUAAAUUCUUACGUGA